UACGUAGGUGGCAAGCGUUGUCCGGAAUUACUGGGCGUAAAGGGCGCGUAGGCGGAUGUUUAAGUCGGGGGUGAAAGCCCGGGGCUCAACCUCGGAAUUGCCUUCGAUACUGGACAUCUUGAGUACGGGAGAGGUGAGUGGAACUCCGAGUGUAGAGGUGAAAUUCGUAGAUAUUCGGAAGAACACCAGUGGCGAAGGCGACUCACUGGCCCGUUACUGACGCUGAGGCGCGAAAGCGUGGGGAGCAAACAGG
rnacentral:rRNA from 1 species